UACGUAGGAGGCGAGCGUUGUCCGGAAUCACUGGGUGUAAAGCGCGUGUAGGCGGCCUGUCAAGUCUGCUGUGAAAGCGCCUGGCUUAACCGGGCGAGGUCGGUGGAAACUGGCGGGCUGGAGGACGGUAGAGGGGGGUGGAAUUCCCGGUGUAGUGGUGAAAUGCGUAGAGAUCGGGAGGAACACCAGUGGCGAAGGCGGCCCCCUGGGCCGCUCCUGACGCUGAGACGCGAAGGCGCGGGGAGCGAACGGG
rnacentral:rRNA from 1 species